GAGGAAGACGGGGAACAGGUCGUCCAUGGACCACAGGAAGUCUUGCUUCAGCAGGGACUGGACCUCCUGUGUGAUCUCCUCGAAGGGUUUCCACUGCAGAGGCAAAGCAGGCGUCUUUGGUGCUGGAGAGAACCUGUCAGAUACACAAGGGAAGUUAAUACUUAGAAAACCAACAAAUAUUCUACAUUUGAGGAGCUGGAAAUAGAAACUUCUAAAGCUUGAGCUGAAUGCCAACUUCUGUUUGAGACUUCCUAGAUUAAUUGUGUUAUUGUAUAUGAAUAACCUCGUUUUUUGUUGUUGAACAAUCAAAACGUACCUGCUGCUUCUCCCCCAGUGCAGGAACGGAGACAGAAAUGGAAACAGGCCAGAACUUUCUGAGUGUGGCACGCACUGCUGGACGCCCAGGAAGGCAAGGAGGGCGAGGUCGGCCUGCUUGUUGAGGCGCAGGACGCAAUCCCAGUAGACGCC